CAGGCCUAACACAUGCAAGUCGAACGAGCCUUUCGGGGCUAGUGGCGGACGGGUGAGUAACGCGUGGGAACGUGCCCUAAGGUUCGGAACAACUGAGGGAAACUUCAGCUAAUACCGGAUGUGCCCGAGAGGGGAAAGAUUUAUCGCCUUAGGAGCGGCCCGCGUCUGAUUAGCUAGUUGGUGGGGUAAAGGCCCACCAAGGCUUCGAUCAGUAGCUGGUCUGAGAGGAUGGCCAGCCACAUUGGGACUGAGACACGGCCCAAACUCCUACGGGAGGCAGCAGUGGGGAAUCUUGCGCAAUGGGCGAAAGCCUGACGCAGCCAUGUCGCGUGGAUGAUGAAGGUCUUAGGAUUGUAAAUCUUUUCAGCGGGGACGAUAAUGAC
rnacentral:rRNA from 1 species